rnacentral:SRP_RNA from 1 species
GUUGGGCAUGGUGGCACGUGCCUGUAGUCUCAGCUACUCGAGAGGCUGAUGUAGGAGGAUCACUUGAGCCCAGGAGUUCUGGGCUGUAGUGCCUUACGCCGAUCAGGUGUCUGCACUAAGUUUGGCAUCAAUAUGGUGACCUUCCGGGAGUGGGGGACCACCAGGUUGCCUAAGGAGGGGUGAACCAGCCGAGGUGGGAAACGGAGCAGGUCAGAACUCCCAUGCUGAUCAGUAGUGGGAUUGCACCUGUGAAUAGCCACUGCAUUCCAGCCUGAGCAACAUAGCAAGACCCUGUCUCU